rfam:Felis catus isolate Cinnamon breed Abyssinian chromosome B2, whole genome shotgun sequence.
GCCUGGGUGGCUCAGUCGGUUAGGUGUCUGACUUUGGCUCAGGUCACAGUUUGUGGGUUCAAGCCCCGCGUCGGGCU